UACGGAGGGUGCAAGCGUCAUCCGGAUUUACUGGGUUUAAAGGGUGUGUAGGCGGGCUGUUAAGUCGGUGGUGAAAUCUCCGGGCUCAACCCGGAAACUGCCAUUGAUACUAACAGUCUUGAAUUCUGUUGAGGUAGGCGGAAUAAGUCAUGUAGCGGUGAAAUGCUUAGAUAUGACUUAGAACACCAAUUGCGAAGGCAGCUUACUAAGCAGAUAUUGACGCUGAGGCACGAAAGCGUGGGGAUCAAACAGG
rnacentral:rRNA from 1 species